GCCCGGAUGGUGGAACUGGUAGACACAAGGGACUUAAAAUCCCUCAGCGGCAACGCUGUGCCGGUUCGAUUCCGGCUCCGGGCACCA
rnacentral:tRNA from 1 species